AGAAUCAACGCUGGCGGCGUGCCUAACACAUGCAAGUCGAACGAGAAAGUGGAGCAAUCCAUGAGUAAAGUGGCGCACGGGUGAGUAACACGUGACUAACCUACCUUUUAGUGGGGGAUAACCUAGGGAAACCUGGGCUAAUACCGCAUAAUACCUACGGGUCAAAGCAGCAAUGCGCUUGGAGAGGAGUUCGCGGCCGAUUAGUUAGUUGGCGGGGUAAUGGCCCACCAAGACGAUGAUCGGUA
rnacentral:rRNA from 1 species